AGUGAACGCUGGCGGUAGGCCUAACACAUGCAAGUCGAACGGCAGCACAGUAAGAGCUUGCUCUUACGGGUGGCGAGUGGCGGACGGGUGAGGAAUACAUCGGAAUCUACUUUUUCGUGGGGGAUAACGUAGGGAAACUUACGCUAAUACCGCAUACGACCUACGGGUGAAAGCAGGGGAUCUUCGGACCUUGCGCGAUUGAAUGAGCCGAUGUCGGAUUAGCUAGUUGGCGGGGUAAAGGCCCACCAAGGCGACGAUCCGUAGCUGGUCUGAGAGGAUGAUCGGCCACACUGAAACUGAGAAAGGGUCCAGACUCCUACGGGAGGCGGCGGGGGGGAAUAUUGGACAAUGGGCGCAAGCCUGAUCCAGCCAUACCGCGUGGGUGAAGAAGGCCUUCGGGUUGUAAAGCCCUUUUGUUGGGAAGAAAAGCAGCAGGUUAAUACCCCGCUGUUCUGACGGUACCCAAAGAAUAAGCACCGGCUAACUUCGUG
rnacentral:rRNA from 1 species